rnacentral:lncRNA from 1 species
UUUAUGACGUCCAUGUCUCAUUUUAAUGUAGUAAUUUUUAUAUCAAUUAUUCUCUUUGAUAUAAAUAAAUUUAUAUAUAGAUGUAUAUAUGUAUAAUUAUAUUAAAUUUUAUCAUAAUAUUUUAAGAUAGUAUUUGGAUGUCUCAAUUUUGGAUGGAAUAAAGAUUUAUUUCACCUUAUUUCUCCGAACAGGUGAAAAAGAUAUGAUGGGCC